AUAUAUUCGUUAAUCCCAACCGAGUACGUUAAGAACAAAGUGAGUAAAGGAAAGCAAAGUCCAAAACAUGGUUAAAUUUGAAGUAACCAUAUAAGAGUUCAAUUGAAUGGCCAAGUCAUGAGAAUAUGGGAUCACAUUAACAACUUGUGGGUCUUGAAACGGUGGGGGUGGGGGUGGAGGCGGCCGCAUAGGCGGUGGAGACGUGGAGGUGGAUGUGGUAACGGAUUAGAAACGUAUAACAAUGAAGUGAUCGUUUUUUGUCGUCACAUCACAUAGGCAUGCAUUGGUAAUAAACAUGCACAUGACAUUCACAUUUACAAUCUCAUAAGAGAGAAUUUGCUUGGUUCCCGCAAAGAAUAAAGUUGGAACGACAUAAAGAAAAUUUGCUUGGUUCCCGCAAAGAAUAACAUGCAUAAACCAUUUAUCCAAAGAAAAUAAAAAAGUAAAUAAAUAAGUAUGAGGCACAAACUAAAAAUGGUGCAAGAGGAAAAAAUUAUAAAAUAAAUAAAAGUGGACUUGAUGAGUUGCAACUUUGAUGUAUUAAACGGGCUUCUCAACCCAAUUAAGUUUAUAGUUGGGACAUUUAUAGGCCCUAAACUUUCAAGGAUUUGUCGGUGCGGCAUGGCAGACAGAAUAUGACUGGUCUGGUCUUCGUCAAAAAAAAAAAAAACAUCCCCACGUGUCUCUUUCCACAGUUUCCCCAAAAUUUCUGGAUUAACAAUCCUCGUUAUGGAAUUUUAUACAGAUUUAAAGAUUUAUUUGUGCACCUUCAUAACAUAUUUCGCUCUAUCUAGAUGUGAAAAUAUUUCUCAUUUACAGAGAGAUUUAUACAGGACGUUGAACGUACAUAGCUACCUACAAUAAUGGAAGGUAUGAGAACGUUAAAGAUGGAUGUGCAUAGAUAUAAGUAGACUGUUACUAGCAAGACGACAAAAAAAAAGUAGACUGUUACUAUUGUUUUCUACUAAAUGAUGAGUGAACUAUGGUGAUCCGUUGAGAAUAAAAGAAGAAGACAAAUAUACCAAAUUUAUCUAUUUGUUGCGAUAAUAAACGUGGUAUUCAUAUACUAAGGUGCGUAUGUGUAAACAAG
rnacentral:lncRNA from 1 species